GGGUUGUGAGGUUAAGCGACUAAGCGUACACGGUGGAUGCCCUGGCAGUCAGAGGCGAUGAAGGACGUGCUAAUCUGCGAUAAGCGUCGGUAAGGUGAUAUGAACCGUUAUAACCGGCGAUUUCCGAAUGGGGAAACCCAGUGUGAUUCGUCACACUAUCAUUAACUGAAUCCAUAGGUUAAUGAGGCGAACCGGGGAACUGAAACAUCUAAGUACCCCGAGGAAAAGAAAUCAACCGAGAUUCCCCCAGUAGCGGCGAGCGAACGGGGAGCAGCCCAGAGCCUGAAUCAGUGUGUGUGUUAGUGGAAGCGUCUGGAAAGGCGCGCGAUACAGGGUGACAGCCCCGUACACAAAAAUGCACAUGCUGUGAGCUCGAUGAGUAGGGCGGGACACGUGGUAUCCUGUCUGAAUAUGGGGGACCAUCCUCCAAGGCUAAAUACUCCUGACUGACCGAUAGUGAACCAGUACCGUGAGGGAAAGGCGAAAAGAACCCCGGCGAGGGGAGUGAAAAAGAACCUGAAACCGUGUACGUACAAGCAGUGGGAGCACGCUUAGGCGUGUGACUGCGUACCUUUUGUAUAAUGGGUCAGCGACUUAUAUUCUGUAGCAAGGUUAACCGAAUAGGGGAGCCGAAGGGAAACCGAGUCUUAACUGGGCGUUAAGUUGCAGGGUAUAGACCCGAAACCCGGUGAUCUAGCCAUGGGCAGGUUGAAGGUUGGGUAACACUAACUGGAGGACCGAACCGACUAAUGUUGAAAAAUUAGCGGAUGACUUGUGGCUGGGGGUGAAAGGCCAAUCAAACCGGGAGAUAGCUGGUUCUCCCCGAAAGCUAUUUAGGUAGCGCCUCGUGAAUUCAUCUCCGGGGGUAGAGCACUGUUUCGGCAAGGGGGUCAUCCCGACUUACCAACCCGAUGCAAACUGCGAAUACCGGAGAAUGUUAUCACGGGAGACACACGGCGGGUGCUAACGUCCGUCGUGAAGAGGGAAACAACCCAGACCGCCAGCUAAGGUCCCAAAGUCAUGGUUAAGUGGGAAACGAUGUGGGAAGGCCCAGACAGCCAGGAUGUUGGCUUAGAAGCAGCCAUCAUUUAAAGAAAGCGUAAUAGCUCACUGGUCGAGUCGGCCUGCGCGGAAGAUGUAACGGGGCUAAACCAUGCACCGAAGCUGCGGCAGCGACGCUUAUGCGUUGUUGGGUAGGGGAGCGUUCUGUAAGCCUGUGAAGGUGUGCUGUGAGGCAUGCUGGAGGUAUCAGAAGUGCGAAUGCUGACAUAAGUAACGAUAAAGCGGGUGAAAAGCCCGCUCGCCGGAAGACCAAGGGUUCCUGUCCAACGUUAAUCGGGGCAGGGUGAGUCGACCCCUAAGGCGAGGCCGAAAGGCGUAGUCGAUGGGAAACAGGUUAAUAUUCCUGUACUUGGUGUUACUGCGAAGGGGGACGGAGAAGGCUAUGUUGGCCGGGCGACGGUUGUCCCGGUUUAAGCGUGUAGGCUGGUUUUCCAGGCAAAUCCGGAAAAUCAAGGCUGAGGCGUGAUGACGAGGCACUACGGUGCUGAAGCAACAAAUGCCCUGCUUCCAGGAAAAGCCUCUAAGCAUCAGGUAACAUCAAAUCGUACCCCAAACCGACACAGGUGGUCAGGUAGAGAAUACCAAGGCGCUUGAGAGAACUCGGGUGAAGGAACUAGGCAAAAUGGUGCCGUAACUUCGGGAGAAGGCACGCUGAUAUGUAGGUGAAGUCCCUCGCGGAUGGAGCUGAAAUCAGUCGAAGAUACCAGCUGGCUGCAACUGUUUAUUAAAAACACAGCACUGUGCAAACACGAAAGUGGACGUAUACGGUGUGACGCCUGCCCGGUGCCGGAAGGUUAAUUGAUGGGGUCAGCGCAAGCGAAGCUCUUGAUCGAAGCCCCGGUAAACGGCGGCCGUAACUAUAACGGUCCUAAGGUAGCGAAAUUCCUUGUCGGGUAAGUUCCGACCUGCACGAAUGGCGUAAUGAUGGCCAGGCUGUCUCCACCCGAGACUCAGUGAAAUUGAACUCGCUGUGAAGAUGCAGUGUACCCGCGGCAAGACGGAAAGACCCCGUGAACCUUUACUAUAGCUUGACACUGAACAUUGAGCCUUGAUGUGUAGGAUAGGUGGGAGGCUUAGAAGUGUGGACGCCAGUCUGCAUGGAGCCGACCUUGAAAUACCACCCUUUAAUGUUUGAUGUUCUAACGUUGACCCGUAAUCCGGGUUGCGGACAGUGUCUGGUGGGUAGUUUGACUGGGGCGGUCUCCUCCUAAAGAGUAACGGAGGAGCACGAAGGUUGGCUAAUCCUGGUCGGACAUCAGGAGGUUAGUGCAAUGGCAUAAGCCAGCUUGACUGCGAGCGUGACGGCGCGAGCAGGUGCGAAAGCAGGUCAUAGUGAUCCGGUGGUUCUGAAUGGAAGGGCCAUCGCUCAACGGAUAAAAGGUACUCCGGGGAUAACAGGCUGAUACCGCCCAAGAGUUCAUAUCGACGGCGGUGUUUGGCACCUCGAUGUCGGCUCAUCACAUCCUGGGGCUGAAGUAGGUCCCAAGGGUAUGGCUGUUCGCCAUUUAAAGUGGUACGCGAGCUGGGUUUAGAACGUCGUGAGACAGUUCGGUCCCUAUCUGCCGUGGGCGCUGGAGAACUGAGGGGGGCUGCUCCUAGUACGAGAGGACCGGAGUGGACGCAUCACUGGUGUUCGGGUUGUCAUGCCAAUGGCACUGCCCGGUAGCUAAAUGCGGAAGAGAUAAGUGCUGAAAGCAUCUAAGCACGAAACUUGCCCCGAGAUGAGUUCUCCCUGACUCCUUGAGAGUCCUGAAGGAACGUUGAAGACGACGACGUUGAUAGGCCGGGUGUGUAAGCGCAGCGAUGCGUUGAGCUAACCGGUACUAAUGAACCGUGAGGCUUAACCUUACAACGCCGAAGCUGUU
rnacentral:rRNA from 1 species